UUUAGUCCAUCACUAUCAGGAAGGUCAUCAUCAAGGACACAAUGGAAAUUUAUUUGAUGAUGCCGCUAGUGUUUUGGACAACUUCUUCGGAACAGGAUAAGCUUCAUAGCCAUCCUUAAGAGAAAUUGUAGACAAUAGCAAAUCUGAGUAUGAUUGAUCAAAUUACAUAUUGAAACAAUUAUGUAUCGCUAUUUAUUUUAAGCAACCGACUGUAAUUUGCUAAACCUAAUUCCUAUAAUUUUUUCAUGCAUGCUAUUAGAUGCUUCCACAAUGUAAAAAUUUCAGAAAAUAAAUAGAAUAUUGAAAAAAAA